AGUCGAACGCUUUUUCUUUCACCGGAGCUUGCUCCACCGAAAGAAAAAGAGUGGCGAACGGGUGAGUAACACGUGGGUAACCUGCCCAUCAGAAGGGGAUAACACUUGGAAACAGGUGCUAAUACCGUAUAACACUAUUUUCCGCAUGGAAGAAAGUUGAAAGGCGCUUUUGCGUCACUGAUGGAUGGACCCGCGGUGCAUUAGCUAGUUGGUGAGGUAACGGCUCACCAAGGCAACGAUGCAUAGCCGACCUGAGAGGGUGAUCGGCCACACUGGGACUGAGACACGGCCCAGACUCCUACGGGAGGCAGCAGUAGGGAAUCUUCGGCAAUGGACGAAAGUCUGACCGAGCAACGCCGCGUGAGUGAAGAAGGUUUUCGGAUCGUAAAACUCUGUUGUUAGAGAAGAACAAGGAUGAGAGUAAAAUGUUCAUCCCUUGACGGUAUCUAACCAGAAAGCCACGGCUAACUACGUGCCAGCAGCCGCGGUAAUACGUAGGUGGCAAGCGUUGUCCGGAUUUAUUGGGCGUAAAGCGAGCGCAGGCGGUUUCUUAAGUCUGAUGUGAAAGCCCCCGGCUCAACCGGGGAGGGUCAUUGGAAACUGGGAGACUUGAGUGCAGAAGAGGAGAGUGGAAUUCCAUGUGUAGCGGUGAAAUGCGUAGAUAUAUGGAGGAACACCAGUGGCGAAGGCGGCUCUCUGGUCUGUAACUGACGCUGAGGCUCGAAAGCGUGGGGAGCGAACAGGAUUAGAAACCC
rnacentral:rRNA from 1 species